CAUGUCUUUUUGAUAAUAAUUUAAAGUCUAAUCUGCCCACUGAUUAUUUUGAAGGGCCGCAGUAAUUUGACUGUGCAAAGGUAGCAUAAUCAUUUGUCUUUUAAAUGGAGGCUAGAAUGAAUGAUUGGACGAAGUAUAAACUGUCUCGUUUUUAAAAGUAUAAAAAUUUAAUUUUUUAGUUAAAAAGCUGAAAUGAUUUUGGAGGACGAGAAGACCCUAUAGAUCUUUAUAUUAUUUUAUAUUUUUAAUAUUGGUAAAAUAUAUUUUGAGAAUAUUUUACAUAAUAUUUUGUUGGGGUGACAAGAAAAUUAAUUAAACUUUUCUUUUAUUAAACAUAGAUUAAUGAAUAUAUGAUCCAUUAUUAUUGAUAAUAAGAAUAAGUUACCUUAGGGAUAACAGCGUAAUUUUAUUGGAGAGUUCUUAUUGAUAAUAAAGUUUGCGACCUC
rnacentral:rRNA from 1 species